CGUAGGGGGCUAGCGUUGUCCGGAAUCAUUGGGCGUAAAGCGCGCGUAGGCGGCUCGGUAAGUCCGCUGUAAAAGUCAAAGGCUCAACCUUUGAAUGUCAGUGGAUACUGCCGGGCUAGAGUCCGGAAGAGGCGAGUGGAAUUCCUGGUGUAGCGGUGGAAUGCGCAGAUAUCAGGAGGAACACCAACGGCGAAGGCAGCUCGCUGGGACGGUACUGACGCUGAGGCGCGAAAGCGUGGGGAGCGAACAGGAUUAGAUACCCUGGUAGUCCACGCCGUAAACGAUGGGCACUAGGUGUGGGAGGUGUCGACUCCUCCCGUGCCGGCGCUAACGCAUUAAGUGCCCCGCCUGGGGAGUACGGCCGCAAGGCUA
rnacentral:rRNA from 1 species